UAAUCAAGUGGUGAUGGGGCUCACCAAAACCGCCCGCGAGGGAUGAUGGCUCCUGCAACGUA
rnacentral:ncRNA from 2 species